rnacentral:rRNA from 1 species
GUAGGGAGCCUAUACUGCAGUCGAGCGAGCUUGCCUAGAUGAUUUUAGUGCUUGCACUAAAUGAAACUAGAUACAAGCGAGCGUCGGACGGGUGAGUAACACGUGGGUAACCUGCCCAAGAGACUGGGAUAACACCUGGAAACAGAUGCUAAUACCGGAUAACAACACUAGACGCAUGUCUAGAGUUUGAAAGAUGGUUCUGCUAUCACUCUUGGAUGGACCUGCGGUGCAUUAGCUAGUUGGUAAGGUAACGGCUUACCAAGGCAAUGAUGCAUAGCCGAGUUGAGAGACUGAUCGGCCACAUUGGGACUGAGACACGGCCCAAACUCCUACGGGAGGCAGCAGUAGGGAAUCUUCCACAAUGGACGAAAGUCUGAUGGAGCAACGCCGCGUGAGUGAAGAAGGGUUUCGGCUCGUAAAGCUCUGUUGGUAGUGAAGAAAGAUAGAGGUAGUAACUGGCCUUUAUUUGACGGUAAUUACUUAGAAAGUCACGGCUAACUACGUGCCAGCAGCCGCGGUAAUACGUAGGUGGCAAGCGUUGUCCGGAUUUAUUGGGCGUAAAGCGAGUGCAGGCGGUUCAAUAAGUCUGAUGUGAAAGCCUUCGGCUCAACCGGAGAAUUGCAUCAGAAACUGUUGAACUUGAGUGCAGAAGAGGAGAGUGGAACUCCAUGUGUAGCGGUGGAAUGCGUAGAUAUAUGGAAGAACACCAGUGGCGAAGGCGGCUCUCUAGUCUGCAACUGACGCUGAGGC